rnacentral:rRNA from 1 species
CGGCGAUGUCCGAAUGGGGAAACCCAGUGCAAUUCGUUGCACUAUCGUUAACUGAAUACAUAGGUUAACGAGGCGAACCGGGGGAACUGAAACAUCUAAGUACCCCGAGGAAAAGAAAUCAACCGAGAUUCCCCCAGUAGCGGCGAGCGAACGGGGAGCAGCCCAGAGUCUGAAUCAGCUUGUGUGUUAGUGGAACGGUCUGGAAAGUCCGACGGUACAGGGUGAUAGUCCCGUACACCAAAAUGCACAGGUUGUGAACUCGAAGAGUAGGGCGGGACACGUGGUAUCCUGUCUGAAUAUGGGGGGACCAUCCUCCAAGGCUAAAUACUCCUGACUGACCGAUAGUGAACCAGUACCGUGAGGGAAAGGCGAAAAGAACCCCGGCGAGGGGAGUGAAAAAGAACCUGAAACCGUGUACGUACAAGCAGUGGGAGCACCUUCGGGUGUGACUGCGUACCUUUUGUAUAAUGGGUCAGCGACUUAUAUUCUGUAGCAAGGUUAACCGUAUAGGGGAGCCGCAGGGAAACCGAGUCUUAACUGGGCGUUAAGUUGCAGGGUAUAGACCCGAAACCCGGUGAUCUAGCCAUGGGCAGGUUGAAGGUUGGGUAACACUAACUGGAGGACCGAACCGACUAAUGUUGAAAAAUUAGCGGAUGACUUGUGGCUGGGGGUGAAAGGCCAAUCAAACCGGGAGAUAGCUGGUUCUCCCCGAAAGCUAUUUAGGUAGCGCCUCGUGAAUUCAUCUUCGGGGGUAGAGCACUGUUUCGGCUAGGGGGUCAUCCCGACUUACCAACCCGAUGCAAACUACGAAUACCGAAGAAUGUUAUCACGGGAGACACACGGCGGGUGCUAACGUCCGUCGUGAAGAGGGAAACAACCCAGACCGCCAGCUAAGGUCCCAAAGUCAUGGUUAAGUGGGAAACGAUGUGGGAAGGCACAGACAGCCAGGAUGUUGGCUUAGAAGCAGCCAUCAUUUAAAGAAAGCGUAAUAGCUCACUGGUCGAGUCGGCCUGCGCGGAAGAUGUAACGGGGCUAAACCAUGCACCGAAGCUGCGGCAGCGACACUAUGUGUUGUUGGGUAGGGGAGCGUUCUGUAAGCCUGCGAAGGUGUGCUGUGAGGCAUGCUGGAGGUAUCAGAAGUGCGAAUGCUGACAUAAGUAACGAUAAAGCGGGUGAAAAGCCCGCUCGCCGGAAGACCAAGGGUUCCUGUCCAACGUUAAUCGGGGCAGGGUGAGUCGACCCCUAAGGCGAGGCCGAAAGGCGUAGUCGAUGGGAAACAGGUUAAUAUUCCUGUACUUGGUGUUACUGCGAAGGGGGGACGGAGAAGGCUAUGUUAGCCGGGCGACGGUUGUCCCGGUUUAAGCAUGUAGGCUGGUUGUCCAGGCAAAUCCGGAUAAUCAAGGCUGAGGUGUGAUGACGAGGCACUACGGUGCUGAAGUAACAAAUGCCCUGCUUCCAGGAAAAGCCUCUAAGCAUCAGGUAACAUCAAAUCGUACCCCAAACCGACACAGGUGGUCAGGUAGAGAAUACCAAGGCGCUUGAGAGAACUCGGGUGAAGGAACUAGGCAAAAUGGUGCCGUAACUUCGGGAGAAGGCACGCUGGUGUGUAGGUGAAGUCCCUGCGGAUGGAGCUGAGACCAGUCGAAGAUACCAGCUGGCUGCAACUGUUUAUUAAAAACACAGCACUGUGCAAACACGAAAGUGGACGUAUACGGUGUGACGCCUGCCCGGUGCCGGAAGGUUAAUUGAUGGGGUUAUCCGUAAGGAGAAGCUCUUGAUCGAAGCCCCGGUAAACGGCGGCCGUAACUAUAACGGUCCUAAGGUAGCGAAAUUCCUUGUCGGGUAAGUUCCGACCUGCACGAAUGGCGUAAUGAUGGCCAGGCUGUCUCCACCCGAGACUCAGUGAAAUUGAACUCGCUGUGAAGAUGCAGUGUACCCGCGGCAAGACGGAAAGACCCCGUGAACCUUUACUAUAGCUUGACACUGAACAUUGAGCCUUGAUGUGUAGGAUAGGUGGGAGGCUUUGAAGCGUGGACGCCAGUCUGCGUGGAGCCAACCUUGAAAUACCACCCUUUAAUGUUUGAUGUUCUAACGUUGGCCCCUGACCGGGGUUGCGGACAGUGUCUGGUGGGUAGUUUGACUGGGGCGGUCUCCUCCCAAAGCGUAACGGAGGAGCACGAAGGUUAGCUAAUCCUGGUCGGACAUCAGGAGGUUAGUGCAAUGGCAUAAGCUAGCUUGACUGCGAGCGUGACGGCGCGAGCAGGUGCGAAAGCAGGUCAUAGUGAUCCGGUGGUUCUGAAUGGAAGGGCCAUCGCUCAACGGAUAAAAGGUACUCCGGGGAUAACAGGCUGAUACCGCCCAAGAGUUCAUAUCGACGGCGGUGUUUGGCACCUCGAUGUCGGCUCAUCACAUCCUGGGGCUGAAGUAGGUCCCAAGGGUAUGGCUGUUCGCCAUUUAAAGUGGUACGCGAGCUGGGUUUAGAACGUCGUGAGACAGUUCGGUCCCUAUCUGCCGUGGGCGCUGGAGAAUUGAGGGGGGCUGCUCCUAGUACGAGAGGACCGGAGUGGACGCAUCACUGGUGUUCGGGUUGUCAUGCCAAUGGCACUGCCCGGUAGCUAAAUGCGGAAGAGAUAAGUGCUGAAAGCAUCUAAGCACGAAACUUGCCCCGAGAUGAGUUCU